UCUCAGGCACUGGUGUCUAAUACAACACUUGAAGUUUUGUCCACAAUAUAUGAAGUUUUGUCCACAAUAUUUGAAGUUUUGUCCACAAUAUUUAAAAGGCUUGUCAUGGUAAGAAGGUGAAUCGGAUCCUGUACAUGUGAGCAGCAGAACAUCGAACAGACUUUGACAUCUAGAUUUGACACCCAUGAAAGGCCACAUCUCAAACUUGUCAGGCGAAAAUAUAUCUGGUUUAGCGCUGCAACAACUGAUAAAAUCGAGCAACUAAUAGAACAUCCCAGUAACACAUAUUAUUCUGGGUGUGCUAAGAGUGUGAAGAAUAACUGUAUCCCACAUGUACCUUUUAAUUGUUCAGUCCCUCUGCUUGUUAUAUAUAGCAGGAGAUGUUAUGUUUUAAAUUCAGUAAUCUGAGUUUCCAGUGGGAAAAAGAAAGCUCUGAAUUCGAAUUCUCUUUGAAAGAACAACCCAAUUUCCAUAGUGACAUCGUUCUUUUAUAUCCAAAAUAAAUUUAUUCACUAGAGUUCAUGACUGUACUACAAAGAAAUCAGAGAUAUGGAUUUUAUGGAUUCAGAAAAAAAAAACAAAUAAUAUAACCAGAGUUUAUUAGGAAGAAUAUUUGAAACACACCUAAGGCAUUUUUUCUAAUGUGUUUUGUAAUUAAAACUUUUGAUCAUUAAUUCCUGUGAGGCCAUGGGAUGCAUGACCAGCUUUCGAGUGACGUCAGCGGAAAAGACUGCGUCACUGACUGAGUUAAAGAAAUAACUCCCGUCUGACUGGUUAAAACUGUUAUAUGCCAAUGAUUUCGAUUUUCUCAACGUCCUCGAUGUACAUGUACUUUGACCGUCGAUAUAUCGAUGUAUAAAAAUGAAAAGGUAUGCUUUUUCAAUUUUAUGUGGGAAAUCGACACCUAUAAGUAAUAAAUCUUGUGUUGUCUUUUCUUCUAAGGAAAAACUUUUGGCAACACGAAACCAGCUUAUUGUUUCACCAUAUGUCCAUGGAGGGACUCUAGAUGUGGACUGAAAGGCUUGUUAGUAUUACACAUUGUAGCAACAAUAGAUUGAUAAUACUGCUGAAAUAGGCCAUGGAAUUGUUGCCAGUAUUUCGAUAUUCAUGUAUAUGCGUAUUUUAGCUGCCUGGAUACCUAACGUUACCGCGGUGGGAGGAAUUGCUUUGGGAGUGGUCAUCAUGGCAGGUUUUCUGUGGAGGAGAAGAAGAUCAACUCCAGGUACUGUGAGAGAGCAUGAUUGGAUUACAACUGCACCGCCAAGGAGAGGGUUGCCUGCGUUGUGUGUCAGUGACGAGAGUGGCUCACCCGAGCCCGAGAGCUCAGCGCAAACCGACAUUCACCAGUAUGAGCUGAUCGACAACGCUCCUCCUGACCAUGUGUAUUUGAACUCAGAAGAAAACAGCACAACGUAUUCGAGUCUCGUGGCUGAUGAUGCAUCCUCUAACACCUAUUCCACCCUGAAACGUCCUUACAGCAAUGUGAGGGCCACCAAUUCUGACGCUUGUCCAAACAAAAGGGACACCUAUUUGACGCCCAUUAAGUCUGAUUCCUGUGAUUCCCGCUAAGCCGAGAGAAAUGACCAAUGGUACUGUGGGUACAGCUCAGAUCAGAAUUGGCCAAAACAGUCAGACAAACAUCUACUCUCUUGUGAAGCGUAAUACAUAUGUCAGGAAUCUGAGAAUCUCGAUUAACAUGCAUAAACAUCUCGCAAUAGAGUUUUUUGGUGAAACUGUAUGCUUUCCGAAUUUUUCCACUGGUGAUUUUCUCUUUUGUGAAGGUAGAAAAGAUCUAGACCACGUUAAAUUUAUCUUAUUCAUGGGCGAAAAAUUGAUGAUGAUGCGAGAAAAUCACAUUCUAAAAACAAUUAAUACCCCUCCCCCUCCCUUAAAAAAACACCUUUAAUAACAAGAAACCAGACAAGUAAUGAUGAUAAAUAUAUUUGUCGCUCGCAAGAAAAGAAAGUCGUAAGAAAUUAUAGGUCCUAUAGGAAUCAACUUAAAACCUAUGGGGCAUCUACCGGAGAACUGUCUGAAGUCGAUAGAGCGUCAAUUAGAUGUUUUCGUCAAACUGUCCGGUAAGGUGGCUUGUUCGAUUCCUGCCAAGCCUGGUUCUCCGCUAUGCUUUACGUCAUGCAGAGAGUCUAUCCAGUGUAUGGUGAAUAACAAUUGUUUCCCAGAACCCGGUGCAUUUCAUCGAGAAACCUAACCACCGUGAGUGAAGAAUCUGGAGAACGCGAGACGCCUCGCGUUUGUCUUAACAACUAAAUUAAAUAUUGUGGCAGAUCUGUGUACAUAUCUCAUUUGUAACAUAUUCUUGAUGAUAAAUAUGAAAUGUUUAAAUGUAAAGCACUAUUUUUGACGUCAUUUGUAUAGUUGCAAUAUUUUUUGAUCAAAGAUGACCAAAAAUCUACCAGACUAUUAUAUCGUUCAUCAUGAGAAUGGGUCCUAAUAACUGCAUUGUAAAUUAAAUAUUAUAUAUGGCAGAUCUCUGCAUAUAUCUCCUGUAUAACAUUUUUGAUGAUAACUGUCGAAUAUAAAACACCAUUAUUCUUUGAUGUCAUUUGUAUAGUUGUACUAAUCUUUCAUCAUAAACUAUCAAAGAAACUAUUAAAUUACUAUUUCGUUCAUUUAUGGUACAAAGAUUUAUAAGGACCGGAGAAAAUCACAUUUUGAUUUAAAGAACAAUGAAAGGAGUUAAUACUGAAAUUUGAUUAACAUGCUGUUAUUCAAUGUUAUUUGUAACUUUGAUAUUUUUUAAACAAUAAAAUACGACAGGCAGUAUUUCCUAGAAUUGCGUUUGUUAGGUAAUUGCCUAAAUGCUCUUGAUAUGUUUUAUUUUGUAUGUCAAAGUAGUUAUUUCACUACGUAGACACAUACGGGUCCACGCAGGCCUUGUGCGGGACAACUAUUGUUUUUGAACAUAUUAUAUUUAUAUUGUUUUAAAUCUGUCAGACCGUUUGACCAAUCCCUUGGAAGAUCUGCAGCCACAAUUUGCCGGAUGUGGAGUUGUGCGAUUUGCAAAGAUGUUUUUUCCUGGUCAUGGUCUUGAAUGGCCAAACUAGAUAUUGUGCCAAACCUUUAAAAGGGUUGAUUUUGGAACCGGUCGUUCCUUUUUUUCCAGACUUUUAACAUUUUAGGUAGUGGAUAAAAUUGUUUUAAAAUAUCCAGUAAUUGAAAAAAGAAGUCGUCAUCAACAGGCUUCGAUCUCACCUACUUUGACCUAUGUGACAACUGUAUUUCUCUUGAAAAACAUGCUGACAUGAAAACAUAUACAACCGUCUUGCCGAUAUAGCCACACUCUUUGGUGCUGGGUACACGUUUGUCAUUAGUGGCCUACCUGCCAGCGUGUUGUUAUUGCGUGUCAGAGAUCGGUAUUUUGCUGCUAACCCUUUUAAUGUGUCUAGGAAUGGUAUUGAAUAUUAUCAAGAUUCAUUCAUUGUUAUUGAUAGUAAUUAUUGUAAUUAUAUAAUUCGACACGUGUAUCUUAAAAAUGUACGAUGCAGUUUAAAAGGACUGUGUUUGAUUUUUCAGUCUUUACGUACGGUGCUCUUCACAUUAUAGACUAUAGUAUAGUCCUGAUCAAGACAAAGCAAUCCGUGAUCUGUAACUGAUAUGCAGAACAUUGUAACUGAUAAAUUUAUAACAUAAGUGUACUUACAGGUUUUUAUACUCUUUCUUGCUCCACAACAGAAUAUUGUGUACAAUAGCAAUAUGAUUACAGUGAUUAAAGGAGAAGACAAUUUAAAUAUCAAACAAAUACCAUUGAAAAGAGUAUGCAUUUUGUCACAGGUGCAUGCCAUAAAAAAUUCUAAUAUGUACCUCAAGUUGAUAAAUUAUAAAUAAAGUCAGCUCCAAAAUCCGCUGUGAGCGACUCCAUUUUGCCUGAGAAGUAGUCCUGAAGUCUUCUGUGUUAGGAGGAGAAUUGCCGUCGGAAACCGCUGAAGUGCCGUUUUUACAUUCCCGGUAGAACUCUUCUUUCAAGAAGGUAUCGAACAGUACAAUUCGUUUUCCACUUGACGGUCGGGAAACCGGAAUGUUGGACGUAGGUUCCCAGUUUACACGAACAAGCCGGCAGUUUGAACGACUCUCAUUGGCUGAGAGGCAACACACUCCCAGUAUAAAUUACAUGAUGUUAAAGAUGGAGGACACAAUGAACUCAGCGAUUUAUACCAGCUUUGCCGUUUUCAGACUUUACGUGUGUGGCAAGGAAAAAUUAAAAAAAUUAUGCUGCAGGCACCAUUAGAUAGA